AUUGAACGCUGGCGGCAUGCCUUACACAUGCAAGUCGAACGGUAACAGCACUUCGGUGGCUGACGAGUGGCGGACGGGUGAGUAAUACAUCGGAACGUGCCCGAUCGUGGGGGAUAACUACUCGAAAGAGUGGCUAAUACCGCAUACGAUCUACGGAUGAAAGCGGGGGAUCGCAAGACCUCGCGCGGACGGAGCGGCCGAUGGCAGAUUAGGUAGUUGGUGGGAUAAAAGCUUACCAAGCCGACGAUCUGUAGCUGGUCUGAGAGGACGACCAGCCACACUGGGACUGAGACACGGCCCAGACUCCUACGGGAGGCAGCAGUGGGGAAUUUUGGACAAUGGGGGAAACCCUGAUCCAGCCAUGCCGCGUGCAGGAUGAAGGCCUUCGGGUUGUAAACUGCUUUUGUACGGAACGAAAAGACUCUUUCUAAUAAAGAGGGUCCAUGACGGUACCGUAAGAAUAAGCACCGGCUAACUACGUG
rnacentral:rRNA from 1 species